rnacentral:rRNA from 1 species
CGUCAGGACGAACGCUGGCGGCGUGCCUAAUACAUGCAAGUCGAGCGAAUCUUUGGGAGCUUGCUCCCAUUGGUUAGCGGCGGACGGGUGAGUAACACGUGGGCAACCUGCCUGUAAGACUGGGAUAACUUCGGGAAACCGGAGCUAAUACCGGAUAAUUCUUUUCCUCUCAUGAGGAAAAGCUGAAAGUCGGUUUACGCUGACACUUACAGAUGGGCCCGCGGCGCAUUAGCUAGUUGGUGAGGUAACGGCUCACCAAGGCGACGAUGCGUAGCCGACCUGAGAGGGUGAUCGGCCACACUGGGACUGAGACACGGCCCAGACUCCUACGGGAGGCAGCAGUAGGGAAUCUUCCACAAUGGACGAAAGUCUGAUGGAGCAACGCCGCGUGAGCGAUGAAGGCCUUCGGGUCGUAAAGCUCUGUUGUUAGGGAAGAACAAGUACCGGAGUAACUGCCGGUACCUUGACGGUACCUAACCAGAAAGCCACGGCUAACUACGUGCCAGCAGCCGCGGUAAUACGUAGGUGGCAAGCGUUGUCCGGAAUUAUUGGGCGUAAAGCGCGCGCAGGCGGUCCUUUAAGUCUGAUGUGAAAGCCCACGGCUCAACCGUGGAGGGUCAUUGGAAACUGGGGGACUUGAGUGCAGAAGAGGAAAGCGGAAUUCCACGUGUAGCGGUGAAAUGCGUAGAGAUGUGGAGGAACACCAGUGGCGAAGGCGGCUUUCUGGUCUGUAACUGACGCUGAGGCGCGAAAGCGUGGGGAGCAAACAGGAUUAGAUACCCUGGUAGUCCACGCCGUAAACGAUGAGUGCUAAGUGUUAGGGGGUUUCCGCCCCUUAGUGCUGCAGCUAACGCAUAAGCACUCCGCCUG